rnacentral:rRNA from 1 species
UCGAUUGGCGGACGGGUGAGUAAUGCUUGGGAACAUGCCUUGAGGUGGGGGACAACAGUUGGAAACGACUGCUAAUACCGCAUAAUGUCUACGGACCAAAGGGGGCUUCGGCUCUCGCCUUUAGAUUGGCCCAAGUGGGAUUAGCUAGUUGGUGAGGUAAUGGCUCACCAAGGCGACGAUCCCUAGCUGGUUUGAGAGGGUGAUCAGCCACACUGGGACUGAGACACGGCCCAGACUCCUACGGGAGGCAGCAGUGGGGAAUAUUGCACAAUGGGCGCAAGCCUGAUGCAGCCAUGCCGCGUGUGUGAAGAAGGCCUUCGGGUUGUAAAGCACUUUCAGUCAGGAGGAAAGGUUAGUAGUUAAUACCUGCUAGCUGUGACGUUACUGACAGAAGAAGCACCGGCUAACUCCGUGCCAGCAGCCGCGGUAAUACGGAGGGUGCGAGCGUUAAUCGGAAUUACUGGGCGUAAAGCGUACGCAGGCGGUUUGUUAAGCGAGAUGUGAAAGCCCCGGGCUCAACCUGGGAACUGCAUUUCGAACUGGCAAACUAGAGUGUGAUAGAGGGUGGUAGAAUUUCAGGUGUAGCGGUGAAAUGCGUAGAGAUCUGAAGGAAUACCGAUGGCGAAGGCAGCCACCUGGGUCAACACUGACGCUCAUGUACGAAAGCGUGGGGAGCAAACGGGAUUAGAUACCCCGGUAGUCCACGCCGUAAACGAUGUCUACUAGAAGCUCGGAGCCUCGGUUCUGUUUUUCAAAGCUAACGCAUUAAGUAGACCGCC